GGUCUCGUGGUGUACCGGUUAACAUGCCUCUCUGUCACAGAGGAGAUUGCGAGUUCGAUUCUCGUCGGGACCGCCA
rnacentral:tRNA from 1 species